AAUGAACGUUGGCGGCGUGGAUUAGGCAUGCAAGUCGCACGGGCCGCAAGGCCAGUGGCGCAAGGGUGAGUAAGGCGACGGUAACCAACCCCAUGGUUGGGCAUAGCCGCGGGAAACCGCGGGUAAUUCCCAGCGACGUCGCGCGGGGGCAUCUCCGUGCGACCAAAGUCCUGGCGCCGUGGGACGGGCCGUCGUGGUAUUAGGUGGUUGGCGGGGUAACGGCCCACCAAGCCGGCGAUGCCUACCGGGCGUGCGAGCGUGGCCCGGCACACUGGGACUGAGACACUGCCCAGACUCCUACGGGAGGCUGCAGUCGAGAAUCUUCGGCAAUGGGCGCAAGCCUGACCGAGCGACGCCGCGUGGAGGAUGAAGGCCCUCGGGUUGUAAACUCCUGUCGAGGGGGAAGAAGGGGGUAAAACCCUUGACUGAUCCCUGGAGGAAGCACGGGCUAAGUUCGUGCCAGCCGCCGCCGUAAA
rnacentral:rRNA from 1 species